UGCAGGUCAGAGAACAUAUAAAACAAGAGUGUUAAAUUGUUCUUUACAAGGUAAUUAUAGUGACUAUUGACAUGGUGACAUCAGGAACGAUGUUGCUAAUCAAUUAACACAUUUUAAAUAAUUCAUUUUGAAUAACACAUUUUAAAAAUUAAUUAAACAAUACAAAAUUUACUUACUUGGAUUGGCGACUGUCAUCUGUACAUUUUUUUUAAUGAAUUCUUCCACCAUGUGUAUUUCAAUUCCAGCUGAGCCUUAUCAAAUUUUUUAAAUUUCUUUGAAGCACUUUGUAAAGAUUUCGCUUUUCUCUUCCAGAAGAUCGUCCUUUUUUCUUUUUCAAAUUCAUGAAUGGCUAUUUGUUAUUCUUCAUAUGAAGAAAAUCAAAAUGCUACAAAAAUUGUAGCUGCCUUGACUAUGAUAAACAGAGCUAAAU